rnacentral:rRNA from 1 species
CAGCCGCCACGGUAAUACGAAGGGGGCUAGCGUUGUUCGGAUUUACUGGGCGUAAAGGGUGCGUAGGCGGAUUGUUAAGUCAGGGGUGAAAUGCCGGGGCUCAACCUCGGAACUGCCUUUGAUACUGGCGAUCUUGAGUCCGGGAGAGGUGAGUGGAACUGCGAGUGUAGAGGUGAAAUUCGUAGAUAUUCGCAAGAACACCAGUGGCGAAGGCGGCUCACUGGCCCGGAACUGACGCUGAGGCGCGAAAGCGUGGGGAGCAAACAGGAUUAGAUACCCCGGUAGUCCCUGUCUCUUAUAC